CGGGCGGCUGCAGCAGUGGGGAAUUUUGCGCAAUGGGGGAAACCCUGACGCAGCAAUACCGCGUGAGUGAAGAAGGCCUUUUGGUCGUAAAGCUCUUUUCUUGGGGAAGAUAGUGACGGUACCCAAGGAAUAAGCACCGGCUAACUCCGUGCCAGCAGCCGCGGUAAUACGGAGGGUGCAAGCGUUGUUCGGAUUUACUGGGCGUAAAGGGCACGUAGGCGGCACAGCAAGUUAAGGGUGAAAUCCCGGGGCUCAACUCCGGAACUGCUCUUAAAACUGCUGAGCUAGAGAUAGUCAGAGGCGGGUGGAAUUCCAGGUGUAGAGGUGAAAUUCGUAGAUAUCUGGAGGAACACCGGUGGCGAAGGCGGCCCGCUGGGGCUAUUCUGACGCUAAGGUGCGAAAGCGUGGGGAGCAAACGGGAUUAGAUACCCCAGUAGUC
rnacentral:rRNA from 1 species